rnacentral:rRNA from 1 species
CGAGCUUGCUCGUUAGUGGCGGACGGCUGAGUAACGCGUAGGUGACCUGCCCCGAAGUGGGGGAUAACUGCCCGAAAGGGUGGCUAAUACCGCAUGUGGCGACGCUUUCAUUGGCGUCAUCAAAGCCGCGAGGCGCUUCGGGAGGGGCCUGCGUCCGAUUAGCUCGUUGGUGGGGUAAUGGCUCACCAAGGCGACGAUCGGUAGGUGGUCUGAGAGGACGAUCACCCAGACUGGGACUGAGACACGGCCCAGACUCCUACGGGAGGCAGCAGUCGGGAAUUUUGCUCAAUGGGCGCAAGCCUGAAGCAGCAACGCCGCGUGAGGGAUGAAGGCCUUCGGGUUGUAAACCUCUUUUUCCAGGGACGAUAAUGACGGUACCUGAAGAAUAAGUCACGGCUAACUACGUGCCAGCAGCCGCGGUAAUACGUAGGUGACCAGCGUUGUCCGGAUUUACUGGGCGUAAAGAGCGCGCAGGCGGUCGUUCAAGUCGAGUGUGAAAGCCCCCGGCUCAACUGGGGAGGGUCACUCGAUACUGAUCGACUUGAAGGCAGGAGAGGGAAGCGGAAUUCCCGGUGUAGUGGUGAAAUGCGUAGAUAUCGGGAGGAACACCAGUGGCGAAGGCGGCUUCCUGGCCUGUUCUUGACGCUGAGGCGCGAAAGCUAGGGGAGCAAACGGGAUUAGAUACCCCGGUAGUCCUAGCCGUAAACGAUGGACACUAGGUGUUGGUGGUAUCAACCC